rnacentral:rRNA from 1 species
UACGUAGGGGGCAAGCGUUGUCCGGAAUCAUUGGGCGUAAAGAGCGUGUAGGCGGUCCGGUAAGUCCGCUGUGAAAGUCGGGGGCUCAACCCUCGAAUGCCGGUGGAUACUGUCGGGCUAGAGUGCGGAAGAGGCGAGUGGAAUUCCUGGUGUAGCGGUGAAAUGCGCAGAUAUCAGGAGGAACACCUAUUGCGAAGGCAGCUCGCUGGGACGUAACUGACGCUGAGACGCGAAAGCGUGGGGAGCGAACAGG